CGUCUAUAUACGUAUAGCAUAUCAAUAAGCGGAGGAAAAGAAACUAACUAGGAUUCCCUUAGUAACGGCGAGUGAAGCGGGAAGAGCUCAAAUUUGAAAUCUUCAAGGUUCUACCUUGACGAAUUGUAGUUUAAAGAAGUGUUUUCUGUUGGAGUUUUGGUAAAAGUUCUUUGGAAUAGGACAUCAUAGAGGGUGAGAAUCCCGUAUUUGACCAUUAUUUCCAGCUGUGUGAUACACUUUCAAAGAGUCGGAUUGUUUGGGAAUGCAGUCCAAAAUGGGUGGUAAAUUUCAUCUAAAGCUAAAUACUGGCGAGAGACCGAUAGCGAACAAGUACCGUGAGGGAAAGAUGAAAAGAACUUUGAAAAGAGAGUUAAACAGUACGUGAAAUUGUCAAAAGGGAAGCGUUUGACACCAGUGUUGUUUUCUCGAAAAUCAAUUAAAAAUGCUGGAUUUUGUGUUGUAUUGACUUUAUCAGCUUUCUGCACUCUUUUCCUGUCUUUUUUAAUGCACUUUUCGUUUAACAAGUCAACAUCAAUUUCUUUUGUUGUAAAAGGGUCAUUGGAAGGUGGCUUUCUUUUCGGAGAAAGUGUUUAUAGCCUUUGCCUCUGCAAUCGGAGAGAUUGAGGUCUGCAGCGUAGAUCCUUCGGGGUUAGAUGCAUUUGUGCUAAGUUAUAGCCUAUUCAUAGACAACUUGUUGACUAUGAUCAGUCAUGUAGCUUACUCGCUUAUGCUAUUUUACCUACGCUUAGGAUGUUGACGAUCAGCUGAGCGCG
rnacentral:rRNA from 1 species